rnacentral:rRNA from 1 species
UCGAGAAUCUUCGGCAAUGGGCGCAAGCCUGACCGAGCGACGCCGCGUGGAGGACGAAGGCCUUCGGGUUGUAAACUCCUGUCGAGGGGGAGGAAGGUCGCGAAAGCGGCUUGACCGAUCCCUGGAGGAAGCACGGGCUAAGUUCGUGCCAGCAGCCGCGGUAAGACGAACCGUGCGAACGUUAUUCGGAAUCACUGGGCUUAAAGCGCGUGUAGGCGGAUGGGGACGUCGGUCGCUGAAAUCCCCCGGCUCAACCGGGGAACGGGCGCCGAAACGCCCCGUCUCGAGGGACGUAGGGGGACCUGGAACUUCCGGUGGAGCGGUGAAAUGCGUUGAGAUCGGAAGGAACGCCCGUGGCGAAAGCGAGGUCCUGGACGUCUUCUGACGCUGAGACGCGAAAGCUAGGGGAGCGAAC